rnacentral:rRNA from 1 species
CCCCUAGAUGUUCUGGGCCGCACGCGCACUACACUGAACAGUUCAACAAGUCUUAACCUUGGCCGAUAGGUCUGGGUAAUCUUUGAACGCUGUUCGUGAUUGGGAUAGACCUUUGCAAUUAUGGGUCUUCAACGAGGAAUUCCUAGUAAACGCAAGUCAUCAGCUUGCAUUGAUUACGUCCCUGCCCUUUGUACACACCGCCCGUCGCACCUACCGAUUGAAUGGUCCGGUGAAAUCUCGGGACGGCGGCUUGGUCGCUUGCGUCCGACUGCUGAAACUUGAUUAAACCAUAUCAUUUAGAGGAAGGUGAANUCGUAACA